rnacentral:tRNA from 1 species
GAGGUCCUAGCUUAAUUAAAGUACCUGAGUUGCAUUCAGGGGAUGUAGGAUAGCAGCCUGCGGACUUUA